rnacentral:misc_RNA from 1 species
AGUUUGAAUUGGUUGACAGAGAGGACCUAGAGGAGGAGCAAGAAGAGGAAGAUGAGGAGGAGCAGGGGGAAGAAGGGGAGGAAACUGAAGAAGGGGAGGGAAAUGUGACAGAGGAGGAGGACAAGAAGACAAAGUGAAGACUGAGUGGGGAACUCGCGCAGAGGGGGGCCUCUGAAAUCAAGGAUUGUCAAAAUGAAAAAUUAGUUGAUAUUAAGACUAGGAGGCAUUUCUGUCAACAGAAAUACAUAUGUAUAAAGAAGAACAAGAAAAUCAUGGAAUGUAUGAUGCAUAGAGUAUUUUUUAAAGUUGAUUUAUGACUAUGAAUUUAUUUUAUUGUUACUGAGUUCAAAAUUAUUUUAUUUGAAAUUAAUGUUUGAUUAUAGGAUACAUUUAUUAUGUUGCAUGUACAUGUAGGUGUCCAUCAAAUUGAAAGAUAAGGUUUCUAGUUUUUUGUUUUUAACUAUUCUUACAUGUAUCUAAAAUAAAUGAAAUCAAUGUUACUGAGAGGAAAUAGUUGGCCAGGUGAGGGUUAUCGACUUUGUGAAGCUUGAAUCUCUACAGAUGUUUUUGUUAUACUGCUUCCAGUGAAGAUAUCCUUUGUUAUAUUACAUGUUGUCAAUAAAGGUGAUUGUCUGGCAAAUUAAAUUAUAUUUCCAGCAUU